rnacentral:rRNA from 1 species
UACAGAGGUCCCAAGCGUUGUUCGGAAUUAUUGGGCGUAAAGGGCGCGUAGGCGGUGCGGUAAGUCACCUGUGAAAUCUCCUGGCUCAACUGGGAGCUUGCAGGCGAAACUGCCGUGCUGGAGUGUGGGAGAGGUGCGUGGAAUUCCUGGUGUAGCGGUGAAAUGCGUAGAUAUCGGGAGGAACACCUGUGGCGAAAGCGGCGCACUGGACCACAACUGACGCUGAGGCGCGAAAGCUAGGGGAGCAAACAGG